rnacentral:pre_miRNA from 1 species
GUAGUACUCCCUCCGUUCGGAAAUACUUGUCAUCAAAAUGAAUAAAAGGGGAUGUAUCUAAAUGUAUAUUAGUUCUAGAUACAUCUUUUUUAUCCAUUUUGAUGACAAGUAUUUUCGGACGAAGGGAGUACUUG